UCCCGAGGCGCGCUCCCGGGCUGCUGGCCGGGCCCUGUGUCUGGGGACGGUCAGGGUCCCCACUCUGGGGAACAGCGAGUGCGACCCGCAUUCGUCCUCCGCACUCGUGCCUUUCCUUUGUGCAGCCCGGUCACCGAACGGCCGACAUGGAAGAGCUUCUCCCUCCUGAAGUUCCCGCUGCAAGUGCCUGCGUCUGUUUCCUGAUGUUUUGUCGUUCUGCCCUUGGGGGGGGCGGGUUCUUUCCCGCCGCCUGAGUUCUUUCGGGACAGCGGUUGGACUUGAGAUGGGGCCACAGGAGUGAAGUGACCGCGGACUCACACUGCCAGUGAGUGGCAGGACAGCCGAACCCAGAUAGAGCUGAAGUCGCACAACAUACAUCCUGAAGCUCUCGCCUGAGCACGCCGCCGAGUUCUGCCUUGAACCUCCUCAUUUAGCAGCCUCAUGCCACCCCCCAAGUGGCUUCUUUCACCUCUGCUAAUAUAGGUGAUUUACCAAGACUACCCCAGAAGUGAUGCUGUCUUCUUCUAGUGCAUGAUGUCUGGAAGAAUCUGAAGUCACCAUUACUGCAAACACGAGGACGCCUGUUUUCGCACAGCCUCACCAGUGCCGAGCGUGUUGUGAGAAUUUUCAUUUUCACCUUCCUGAUAGGUGAAAGCCCUGUAGUCACUCUACCCAGGACUCAAAGCCCAGGUGAUCGUGGGUGAGUCACCUGACCUGUCUAUGCUCCCUUUCCUGUAAAUUCGGGGAUAAUAGCACCUAUUUCUCAGGGUUGUUAGAUUAAAUGGAGGCAGAGCACUUAGCAUUCUCCCUGUCUCGUGGGAAGCACUCCAUAAACAGGAAGGAUUAUUAAGGUCUCUCUCAACCGACAAUGGAUGGCAAACAUUCAGGGGCCCCUAUAGAGAUAAAGGGAAAGCUUCCCCUUCACUCCCUGAAAGUUUGCUGAAAAUCAACUGACAAAAGGCAGAUAAAUUGGAGAAAAGGCAUACAAAAUUUAUUCUGAUGUGCAUAGCAUGGGGUAAUCCCAGUGAUUACCCAAGAACCCAGUGGGGUGCACACAGAUGCUUAUAUACCCUUCUUUGUGGGGGAGAGGGAGGAGGGAGAAAUGUGGCAAUUUGAGGGACAAUUAUUUUUAGGAGGAAAUGAAUGGGCCUAAUGCUCAGAUAAUGGUCAGUGAAUAAUUUUCUUUGGAAAUUGAAUAGGAUGGAGAACAGAUGAUAGUUUGGUACGAAGUUCAUCUGAGCUCUACGUGGGGUGUUUAAUGUUCAGUCUCUUCCUCUGUGAUAUGAGUUUUAAUCUUCCCCAGAUAAUACAGUUUCAGGCAGCUGUGUCCCCCUUGGCAGGUCUGGUUUCUAGGUACACAAAGGAACUUCGGAGAAGAGCUUCGCCCUGUGCUUCGGGAGGGACAGCGGACUGAGAGACAGGACGAGGGGGGUCAGCGAGACCUCGAGGCUGCUUCAUGUCAAGCACAACAUUUCGGGGGUCAUCUGGCCAUUUGGAGACAUUUUUGGUUGUCACAGUUGGAUGGUGCUACUGGCAUCCGAGGCCAGAGGCCAGACGUGCUGCUGAGCAACCUACAGUGAAGAAUGGCCCAGCCCAAAUGGCGCAGGGCUGAGGGCAGAAAAGCGGGACUCUGCCAUGGGCCCUUGGAAAGGUUGCUGUCUGAAUUCCCUGUUCCGCGGUACACACUAUUCCCAUUUUAUAGAUGAGGGGACUGACGCGCAGAGAGGUUGGGCUUGCUUUGGGCUCGUAUUUAUAAAACCAAGAUUCAGUGCUGUGGGCUCCUCCCCACCCCUGUGGGUUGGAAUGACUCAGCCCCCGAGGGGAGCUGAUGGGACGCAGAGCCAGGUGGAACAGGAGGAACUUCAGAGUCGGGAAACCGGGAUCUGGUCCUGGCUCUGUCAUAGACUCACAGCGUGACCCGAGUAAGUCACUGCCCCUCUCUGGUUUUGUUUCCAAAGGAAGCUGGACAAGGUAACCUCUAGGGUUCCCCACAGUGACGACUGAUGAGACGCUGCCCCUUUGCGGCUGAGACAGUGUCUGGGGGCUCGAAAGAUGGGGAGGGUCCUGGGGGACAUUUGGGCCCACCUUAGACACUCCAGUCCACCUCCUCACACAGGAUAAAUCCAGAGGGAGGAGGAUGCGGCCCUGCCCUUGGGCAGCGGGGAAGAUGUUCUCCCUGGGCAGAAAGGACCAUGCUCUGCGUCUGCGCACCGGGCAGUUUCCAGAGGCCGGCCUCCAAGCGUGAACUCCCAGCGUCAGAACCAGACUCUUCUGCAGCCCAGCCAGACGCGGCCCUUCCCCAGAGCGUCCUCGCUGGGCUGGCACGGCCUCCUCUUAAGCUCUGGGCCCAUCUCUUCCUUGAAGUGAGGGGUACCUGGGGCGGGGGCUGCUUUAGUGGGAGCCCAGACAUGUCACAGCAAAAUUCACCUUAAAUAGCCCAGAAGCCAGAAGGGAGGCACCCUCAGGAUUACGAGGUGGAGGGCCAUUUGCUAGGGGCCAUUCCAGGGCUCUGGGACUCCAGCACUGUUCAAAAGGUAGAGACAGGGUCCCCAA